AGUUUUAUAGUCAAAAUUUAAUGAUAUUAGACUGCAAUUCUAAAGGUGUAAUAUAAUAUACUAAGACUU
rnacentral:tRNA from 1 species